UAGCUGAAAUGCAAAUGGUGUCUUUGUAAAUUGGGGUUGUGCUUGGUAACAUCUGAGGAAUGGGUGCGAUGAGGAGCCCUGAUACUGAGACUUGGACUGUCAACACCUGUCACCUGCUGAAACCAUGGAAUGGGGGCUCUUGUGAGGAGGUGACACAAAACCCUCAAAACCACAACCAAGGUUGCUAAACAGGCUCUAAAAAGGCAGAUCAGAGGGGAGGCCAUGCUAAGAAGUUUCUAAAACAGAAAUUCAGCUGAGGACUGGGCUUCAUUUCUCAUGUGUGAUGAUGGUCUUCAGCUACUUGGAAGCUGCAGGUGACUUCUGUAAGUACCUCCUAAAUGUUCAUAACUCUG